rnacentral:rRNA from 1 species
UACGUAGGGGGCAAGCGUUGUCCGGAAUUAUUGGGCGUAAAGAGCGCGUAGGCGGUCCGAUAAGUCGGCUGUGAAAGUCCAGGGCUCAACCCUGGAAAGCCGGCCGAUACUGUCGGACUAGAGUCCGGAAGAGGCAAGUGGAAUUCCCGGUGUAGUGGUGAAAUGCGUAGAUAUCGGGAGGAACACCAGUGGCGAAGGCGACUUCCUGGCCUGUUCUUGACGCUGAGGCGCGAAAGCUAGGGGAGCAAACGGG